rnacentral:tRNA from 1 species
GACGUCGUGACCGAGUGGCCAGGUAACGGUCUGCAAAACUGUGUACACGGGUUCGAAUCCCGUCGACGUCUCCA